GAACGAACGCUGGCGGCAUGCCUACCCCAUGCAAGUCGAACGAGACCUUCGGGUCUAGUGGCGCACGGGUGCGUAACGCGUGGGAACCUGCCCUUAGGUUCGGAAUAACUCCCCGAAAGGGGUGCUAAUACCGGAUAAUGUCUUCGGACCAAAGAUUUAUCGCCUUUGGAUGGGCCCGCGUUGGAUAGCUAGUUGGUAGGGUAAAAGCCUACCAAGGCGACGAUCCAUAGCUGGUCUGAGAGGAUGAUCAGCCACACUGGGACUGAGACACGGCCCAGACUCCUACGGGGAGCAGCAGUGGGGAAUAUUGGACAAUGGGCGAAAGCCUGAUCAAGCAAUGCCGCGUGAGUGAUGAAGGCCUUAGGGUUGUAAAGCUCUUUUACCCGGGAUGAUAAUGACAGUACCGGGAGAAUAAGCGCCGGCUAACUCCGUG
rnacentral:rRNA from 1 species